rnacentral:rRNA from 1 species
AGCGGUAAGGCCCUUCGGGGUACACGAGCGGCGAACGGGUGAGUAACACGUGGGUGAUCUGCCUUGCACUUCGGGAUAAGCCUGGGAAACCGGGUCUAAUACCGGAUAUGACCACUGAUCGCAUGGUUGGUGGUGGAAAGAUUUAUCGGUGCGAGAUGGGCCCGCGGCCUAUCAGCUUGUUGGUGAGGUAACGGCUCACCAAGGCGACGACGGGUAGCCGACCUGAGAGGGUGACCGGCCACACUGGGACUGAGACACGGCCCAGACUCCUACGGGAGGCAGCAGUGGGGAAUAUUGCACAAUGGGCGAAAGCCUGAUGCAGCGACGCCGCGUGCGGGAUGACGGCCUUCGGGUUGUAAACCGCUUUUGACAGGGACGAAGCGCAAGUGACUGUACCUGUAGAAUAAGGACCGGCCAACUACGUGCCAGCAGCCGCGGUAAUACGUAGGGUCCGAGCGUUGUCCGGAAUUACUGGGCGUAAAGAGCUUGUAGGCGGUUCGUCGCGUCGUUUGUGAAAACUUGGGGCUCAACCUUAAGCUUGCAGGCGAUACGGGCGGACUAGAGUACUUCAGGGGAGACUGGAAUUCCUGGUGUAGCGGUGAAAUGCGCAGAUAUCAGGAGGAACACCGGUGGCGAAGGCGGGUCUCUGGGAAGUAACUGACGCUGAGAAGCGAAAGCAUGGGUAGCAAACAGGAUUAGAUACCCUGGUAGUCCAUGCCGUAAACGGUGGGUACUAGGUGUGGGGCUCCUUCCACGGACUCCGUGCCGUAGCUAACGCAUUAAGUACCCCGCCUGGGGAGUACGGCCGCAAGGCUAAAACUCAAAGAAAUUGACGGGGGCCCGCACAAGCGGCGGAGCAUGUGGAUUAAUUCGAUGCAACGCGAAGAACCUUACCUGGGUUUGACAUACACCGGAAACCUGCAGAGAUGUAGGCCCCCUUGUGGUCGGUGUACAGGUGGUGCAUGGCUGUCGUCAGCUCGUGUCGUGAGAUGUUGGGUUAAGUCCCGCAACGAGCGCAACCCUUAUCUUAUGUUGCCAGCGCGUAAUGGCGGGGACUCGUGAGAGACUGCCGGGGUCAACUCGGAGGAAGGUGGGGACGACGUCAAGUCAUCAUGCCCCUUAUGUCCAGGGCUUCACACAUGCUACAAUGGCCGGUACAGAGGGCUGCGAUACCGCGAGGUGGAGCGAAUCCCUUAAAGCCGGUCUCAGUUCGGAUCGGGGUCUGCAACUCGACCCCGUGAAGUUGGAGUCGCUAGUAAUCGCAGAUCAGCAACGCUGCGGUGAAUACGUUCCCGGGCCUUGUACACACCGCCCGUCACGUCAUGAAAGUCGGUAACACCCGAAGCCGGUGGCCUAACCCCUUG